AGAUUGAACGCUGGCGGCAUGCCUUACACAUGCAAGUCGAACGGCAGCACGGGAGCAAUCCUGGUGGCGAGUGGCGAACGGGUGAGUAAUAUGUCGGAACGUGCCCAGUCGUGGGGGAUAACGCAGCGAAAGCUGUGCUAAUACCGCAUACGAUCUAUGGAUGAAAGCGGGGGAUCGCAAGACCUCGCGCGAUUGGAGCGGCCAAUAUCAGAUUAGCUAGUUGGUGGGGUAAAAGCCUACCAAGGCGACGAUCUGUAGCUGGUCUGAGAGGACGACCAGCCACACUGGAACUGAGACACGGUCCAGACUCCUACGGGAGCAGCAGUGGGGAAUUUUGGACAAUGGGCGCAAGCCUGAUCCAGCCAUGCCGCGUGUGUGAAGAAGGCCUUGGUUGUAAAGCUACUUUUUGUAACGGAAGAAAAGCUAAAGUCGGUUAAUACCCGUUGUACAUAGACGGUACGUAAGAAUAACGCACCGGCUAACUUCGU
rnacentral:rRNA from 1 species